GAUGAACGCUGGCGGCGUGCCUAAUACAUGCAAGUCGAGCGAACAGACGAGGAGCUUGCUCCUCUGACGUUAGCGGCGGACGGGUGAGUAACACGUGGAUCACCUACCUAUAAGACUGGGAUAACUUCGGGAAACCGGAGCUAAUAACGGAUAAUAUAUUGAACCGCAUGGUUCAAUAGUGAAAGACGGUUUUGCUGUCACUUAUAGAUGGAUCCGCGCUGCAUUAGCUAGUUGGUACGGUAACGGCGUCCCAAGGCAACGAUGCGUAGCCGACCUGGGAGGGGGAUCGGCCACACUGAGGGUGAGACGCGGUCAAGGCACCUACGGAAGGCAGAGGUAGGGAAUGGGGCGCAAUGGGCGGAAGCCUGACGAAGCGGCGCCGCGUGGGUGAUGAAAGUCUUCGGAUCGUAAAACUCUGUUAGUGGUGAAGAACGAAUGUAUAAGGGACUAUGCACGUUGUGACGGUACCUGAUCAGAAAGCAACGGCUAACUACGUG
rnacentral:rRNA from 1 species